rnacentral:siRNA from 1 species
UGUGACACCGCCAAAUGUUUCA